GGGGUGGUCUCUGAUGAAGGUUUCCCUGGAAUAAAAACAUAACCCGAAACAUUGCGUACAUAGCACAGUAUCAAUGUAAGGCCAGAGAUAUGAUUCGCAUCUAAAUGGGUGGAUAUUGGAUCAAUUUCUAUGAAAAAUUAUAAGAUGUGAUGCAAUUGCCAAUGAGACAACACCCAAUUAAAUACCAAAUGUACUUUUCUAUCUAAACUAUU
rnacentral:lncRNA from 1 species